rnacentral:rRNA from 1 species
AGUGUGGCAGCGAUGUCACAGACUGGAAACAAGUACCCUGUACAGGUGCUGCAUGGCUGUCCGUCAGCUCGUGCCGUGAGGUGUUGGGUUAAGUCCCGCAACGAGCGCAACCCCUACUGCCAGUUACUAACAGGUAACGCUGAGGACUCUGGCGGAACUGCCCGGUGAACAAACCGGAGGAAGGUGGGAUGACGUCAAGUCAUCAUGGCCCCUAUGUCCAGGGCUACACACGUGCUACAAUGGGCGAUACAGAGUGACGCGAAGCCGCGAGGUGGAGCAAAUCGCAGAAAAUCGUUCUCAGUUCGGAUUGGAGUCUGAAACCCGACUCCAUGAAGGUGGAAUCGCUAGUAAUCGCGCAUCAGCAUGGCGCGGUGAAUACGUUCCCGGGCCUU